rnacentral:rRNA from 1 species
GUAUCCUGUCUGAAUAUGGGGGGACCAUCCUCCAAGGCUAAAUACUCCUGACUGACCGAUAGUGAACCAGUACCGUGAGGGAAAGGCGAAAAGAACCCCGGCGAGGGGAGUGAAAAAGAACCUGAAACCGUGUACGUACAAGCAGUGGGAGCACGCUUAGGCGUGUGACUGCGUACCUUUUGUAUAAUGGGUCAGCGACUUAUAUUCUGUAGCAAGGUUAACCGAAUAGGGGAGCCGAAGGGAAACCGAGUCUUAACUGGGCGUUAAGUUGCAGGGUAUAGACCCGAAACCCGGUGAUCUAGCCAUGGGCAGGUUGAAGGUUGGGUAACACUAACUGGAGGACCGAACCGACUAAUGUUGAAAAAUUAGCGGAUGACUUGUGGCUGGGGGUGAAAGGCCAAUCAAACCGGGAGAUAGCUGGUUCUCCCCGAAAGCUAUUUAGGUAGCGCCUCGUGAAUUCAUCUCCGGGGGUAGAGCACUGUUUCGGCAAGGGGGUCAUCCCGACUUACCAACCCGAUGCAAACUGCGAAUACCGGAGAAUGUUAUCACGGGAGACACACGGCGGGUGCUAACGUCCGUCGUGAAGAGGGAAACAACCCAGACCGCCAGCUAAGGUCCCAAAGUCAUGGUUAAGUGGGAAACGAUGUGGGAAGGCCCAGACAGCCAGGAUGUUGGCUUAGAAGCAGCCAUCAUUUAAAGAAAGCGUAAUAGCUCACUGGUCGAGUCGGCCUGCGCGGAAGAUGUAACGGGGCUAAACCAUGCACCGAAGCUGCGGCAGCGACGCUUAUGCGUUGUUGGGUAGGGGAGCGUUCUGUAAGCCUGCGAAGGUGUGCUGUGAGGCAUGCUGGAGGUAUCAGAAGUGCGAAUGCUGACAUAAGUAACGAUAAAGCGGGUGAAAAGCCCGCUCGCCGGAAGACCAAGGGUUCCUGUCCAACGUUAAUCGGGGCAGGGUGAGUCGACCCCUAAGGCGAGGCCGAAAGGCGUAGUCGAUGGGAAACAGGUUAAUAUUCCUGUACUUGGUGUUACUGCGAAGGGGGGACGGAGAAGGCUAUGUUGGCCGGGCGACGGUUGUCCCGGUUUAAGCGUGUAGGCUGGUUUUCCAGGCAAAUCCGGAAAAUCAAGGCUGAGGCGUGAUGACGAGGCACUACGGUGCUGAAGCAACAAAUGCCCUGCUUCCAGGAAAAGCCUCUAAGCAUCAGGUAACAUCAAAUCGUACCCCAAACCGACACAGGUGGUCAGGUAGAGAAUACCAAGGCGCUUGAGAGAACUCGGGUGAAGGAACUAGGCAAAAUGGUGCCGUAACUUCGGGAGAAGGCACGCUGAUAUGUAGGUGAAGUCCCUCGCGGAUGGAGCUGAAAUCAGUCGAAGAUACCAGCUGGCUGCAACUGUUUAUUAAAAACACAGCACUGUGCAAACACGAAAGUGGACGUAUACGGUGUGACGCCUGCCCGGUGCCGGAAGGUUAAUUGAUGGGGUUAGCCGCAAGGCGAAGCUCUUGAUCGAAGCCCCGGUAAACGGCGGCCGUAACUAUAACGGUCCUAAGGUAGCGAAAUUCCUUGUCGGGUAAGUUCCGACCUGCACGAAUGGCGUAAUGAUGGCCAGGCUGUCUCCACCCGAGACUCAGUGAAAUUGAACUCGCUGUGAAGAUGCAGUGUACCCGCGGCAAGACGGAAAGACCCCGUGAACCUUUACUAUAGCUUGACACUGAACAUUGAGCCUUGAUGUGUAGGAUAGGUGGGAGGCUUGGAAGUGUGGACGCCAGUCUGCAUGGAGCCGACCUUGAAAUACCACCCUUUAAUGUUUGAUGUUCUAACGUUGACCCGUAAUCCGGGUUGCGGACAGUGUCUGGUGGGUAGUUUGACUGGGGCGGUCUCCUCCUAAAGAGUAACGGAGGAGCACGAAGGUUGGCUAAUCCUGGUCGGACAUCAGGAGGUUAGUGCAAUGGCAUAAGCCAGCUUGACUGCGAGCGUGACGGCGCGAGCAGGUGCGAAAGCAGGUCAUAGUGAUCCGGUGGUUCUGAAUGGAAGGGCCAUCGCUCAACGGAUAAAAGGUACUCCGGGGAUAACAGGCUGAUACCGCCCAAGAGUUCAUAUCGACGGCGGUGUUUGGCACCUCGAUGUCGGCUCAUCACAUCCUGGGGCUGAAGUAGGUCCCAAGGGUAUGGCUGUUCGCCAUUUAAAGUGGUACGCGAGCUGGGUUUAGAACGUCGUGAGACAGUUCGGUCCCUAUCUGCCGUGGGCGCUGGAGAACUGAGGGGGGCUGCUCCUAGUACGAGAGGACCGGAGUGGACGCAUCACUGGUGUUCGGGUUGUCAUGCCAAUGGCACUGCCCGGUAGCUAAAUGCGGAAGAGAUAAGUGCUGAAAGCAUCUAAGCACGAAACUUGC